AGUGGCGAACGGGUGAGUAACACGUGGGUGACCUGCCCUGUACUUCGGGAUAAGCCUGGGAAACUGGGUCUAAUACCGGAUAUGACCUUCCCCUGCAUGGGGGUUGGUGGAAAGCUUUUGCGGUACAGGAUGGGCCCGCGGCCUAUCAGCUUGUUGGUGGGGUAAUGGCCUACCAAGGCGACGACGGGUAGCCGGCCUGAGAGGGCGACCGGCCACACUGGGACUGAGACACGGCCCAGACUCCUACGGGAGGCAGCAGUGGGGAAUAUUGCACAAUGGGCGAAAGCCUGAUGCAGCGACGCCGCGUGAGGGAUGACGGCCUUCGGGUUGUAAACCUCUUUCAGUAGGGACGAAGCGCAAGUGACGGUACCUACAGAAGAAGCACCGGCCAACUACGUGCCAGCAGCCGCGGUAAUACGUAGGGUGCGAGCGUUGUCCGGAUUUACUGGGCGUAAAGAGCUCGUAGGCGGUUUGUCACGUCGUCUGUGAAAACCCGAGGCUUAACCUCGGGCCUGCAGGCGAUACGGGCAGACUUGAGUACUGUAGGGGAGACUGGAAUUCCUGGUGUAGCGGUGGAAUGCGCAGAUAUCAGGAGGAACACCGGUGGCGAAGGCGGGUCUCUGGGCAGUAACUGACGCUGAGGAGCGAAAGCGUGGGUAGCGAACAGGAUUAGAUA
rnacentral:rRNA from 1 species